rnacentral:rRNA from 1 species
UACGUAGGGUGCGAGCGUUGUCCGGAAUUACUGGGCGUAAAGAGCUCGUAGGUGGUUUGUCACGUCGUCUGUGAAAUUCCGGGGCUUAACCCCGGACUUGCAGUGGGUACGGGCAGACUAGAGUGUGGUAGGGGAGACUGGAAUUCCUGGUGUAGCGGUGAAAUGCGCAGAUAUCAGGAGGAACACCGAUGGCGAAGGCAGGUCUCUGGGCCACUACUGACGCUGAGAAGCGAAAGCAUGGGGAGCGAACAGGAUUAGAUAUCCGUGUA